rnacentral:misc_RNA from 1 species
AAGUCGUAACAAAGUCUCCGUAGGUGAACCUGCGGAGGGAUCAUUACAAGUGCGAGGGUCCCUCGGGGCCCGAACCUCCAACCCCAUGUUUUCCGACUCUGUUGCCUCGGGGGGCGACCCGGCCCUUCUGGGCGUCGGGGCCCCCGGUGGUCCAUCUCAACCCUGCAUCUGUGCGUCUGAGUAAAUAUUUGAAUCAAUCAAGA